GUUGGUACUUCAGUUAUAAUGUAACAAUAAGGAGUAGAGGGGGUUGGUACUUCAGUUAUAAUGUAACAAUAAGGAGUAGAGGGGGUUGGUACUUCAGUUGUAUUGUAACAAUAAGGAGUAGAGGGGGUUGGUACUUCAGUUAUAAUGUAACAAUAAGGAGUAGAGGGGGUUGGUACUUCAGUUAUAAUGUAACAAUAAGGAGUAGAGGGGGUUGGUACUUCAGUUGUAUUGUAACAAUAAGGAGUAGAGGGGGUUGGUACUUCAGUUAUAAUGUAACAAUAAGGAGUAGAGGGGGUUGGUGCUUCAGUUAUAAUGUAACAAUAAGGAGUAGAGGGGGUUGGUGCUUCAGUUAUAAUGUAACAAUAAGGAGUAGAGGGGGUUGGUGCUUCAGUUAUAAUGUAACAAUAAGGAGUAGAGGGGGUUGGUGCUUCAGUUAUAAUGUAACAAUAAGGAGUAGAGGGGGUUGGUACUUCAGUUAUAAUGUAACAAUAAGGAGUAGAGGGGGUUGGUGCUUCAGUUGUAUUGUAACAAGGCAAUACAGCUAGAAGUGCCUGGUUCUCAUCCAGUAAGGAGUCAGGUUCACCGUGUCAAUCAUGUCUCAGUGUCUGGCCUUUACUGUCAUUCAGCCAAACUGACCAGGUCAUAUCAAGGCUCUGUGGUUGAUAAGACUGACCGGCUGAUAAGACUGACUAGCUUGUAUCUGUGGGUAGGUAGGUGGUGGAUCUGUAGGUGGAGGGGGUCUGUAGGUGGUGGGUCUGUAGGUGGUGGGUCUGUAGGUGGGUCUGUAGGUGGUGGGUCUGUAGGUGGGUCUGUAGGUGGUGGAUCUGUAGGUGGUGGAUCUGUAGGUGGUGGGUCUGUAGGUGGUGGGUCUGUAGGUGGUGGGUCUGUAGGUGGGUCUGUAGGUGGUGGGUCUGUAGGUGGUGGGUCUGUAGGUGGGUCUGUAGGUGGUGGAUCUGUAGGUGGUGGAUCUGUAGGUGGGGGGGGUCUGUAGGUGGGGGGUCUGUAGGUAGUGGGUCUGUAGGUAGUGGGUCUGUAGGUGGUGGGUCUGUAGGUGGUGAGUCUGUAGGUGGGUCUGUAGGUGGUGGGUCUGUAGGUGGGUCUGUAGGUGGUGAGUUGCAGGUGAGCUUUCAUAACUCUUUCAUAUUGUGCAACUUGAUUGUAUAGCAGGGCUAAGUGUCAAGUAUUCAAUGAUUGGUGUGUCUGUGGUAUACUUGUGUGUCUG